rnacentral:rRNA from 1 species
GGCUCAGAUUGAACGCUGGCGGCAUGCCUUACACAUGCAAGUCGAACGGCAGCGCGGGAGCAAUCCUGGCGGCGAGUGGCGAACGGGUGAGUAAUACAUCGGAACGUGCCCAAUCGUGGGGGAUAACGCAGCGAAAGCUGUGCUAAUACCGCAUACGAUCUACGGAUGAAAGCAGGGGAUCGCAAGACCUUGCGCGAAUGGAGCGGCCGAUGGCAGAUUAGGUAGUUGGUGAGGUAAAGGCUCACCAAGCCUUCGAUCUGUAGCUGGUCUGAGAGGACGACCAGCCACACUGGGACUGAGACACGGCCCAGACUCCUACGGGAGGCAGCAGUGGGGAAUUUUGGACAAUGGGCGAAAGCCUGAUCCAGCCAUGCCGCGUGCAGGAUGAAGGCCUUCGGGUUGUAAACUGCUUUUGUACGGAACGAAACGGCCUUUU